rnacentral:lncRNA from 1 species
GUAGAAUAAAGAUCUUUCUUUAAAUACAUAUUUACAUGUCCUCCCCAUUCUUCUCUUAUAUUCGCAUUAAAGUAACAACGUUCAUAUUCAGAACAUAGCCUCUUAUAUACUUCUUCUGCAAUAAUUGUCUUUCCUAUACCACUCAUACUGUAACGACCCAAAAAUUUCACAUAUUAACUUAUAUAAUAUUUAGCGAAAAAUGGUGCAUAUUUUAUUUAUUUUUUUUUAAAAAAUAAUAAUAACAAUGACUUAAAACUCACUCGCUUGAAAGUAACAAUAAAUAAUAAAUAAAGAAGUUUUUCUUUGAACCUUUUUAAAUAAUAAAUCAGUAUUGUUUUACAUCAAAAUAUAAAGUAAGGCCCUUGGCCUUUAACUACCCAAAGACACACCCUAGCUGGUCAUAACUUUGGACGCUUGCGAGACUCUCGCUAAGGCGCACCUAAAGUCCACAUCACUCGAAGCCUCCAACUGUAAAUCAUUAUCAUUAUCUGAUUUUCAAAUACGGAAAAGGGUCAACUCCCAAACAACAACAAACAUACAAGUUGUACAUAUAUUAAACAUGAAUUUCAAGACAAGCAAAUUGUACAAAAAUUAAUAUAACUACACAAAGUGUCAACACCAAAAACACAUGUGGACUCGACAAAUGCACAACACCCUAAAGACCGACCUAUAUGCGACUCCAAAUGAUCCGGAUAUCACCUCUCUUAAAGGACAACAAAAGUUCUUCGUAGAUAUUUGUGGGCUCCAACCAAUUAUGAACACUCCACCGUGACUCCAACCAAUUAUGGACACCACAUACCCCACGGGUCCCAACCAAUUAUGGGCACCAAAAGAAAUCAACGAGCCUCAACCAAUUAUGAGCACUCACAAGGAAACAAUAAGCCCCAACCAAUUAUGGGCACUCAAGACUUCGGGUCCUAACCAAUUAUGGGCACCACGCAACAAUGAAUGUAUGCAUGCGACACCUGCAUAUUAACUCCACCAAAUAGACAACUCACAAUGAAUAUCCGAACCUGCUAGAGACAUUGAUUACACCGACAGUAACGCUGACUAACAAAAUAUGCAAGACCUCAAUCCAGGCAUGAAACAACAAUUUAUACUCACAACCAAGCAAUACAAAAUCAAGUUCACCUAGUAUGUAAGCAUGAUACAAUACAUAAACAUGUUAAAAACAUCAUCCUUUUAAAAAAAACAAGUAAAUACAUAUAUAAAAUAAAAAAAUGGAGCGCCCUUUCCCUUACCUUAACAAUAGCAGCUCUUAAGAUUUCCACCAACAGUCUUUACUCUAUCGAAUCUACACUUGUGAUAGGUCUAAAUGCUAGUUUUAGAGUUGAUCUUUGUUCUCAUUUCUUUCUCCUGCAAGACUCUCUAUGUUUCUAUCCCUCUCUCUCUAAAUUUCUCUCUAUUUUCUUCAGAGUGUAGAAUCAGUAAAGUGGUGAAUGAAUGGAAUAAAGAAGGUAACCGAUUGUUAUUAAUUGUGAAAUAACCCUCCCACUAACUCCCUUCCUAAAAGAGUGGCACUAUGCUUAAGGAGUGUGAAGUGAAAUUGACCAAUGUAACUAGGAAAGGAGGUUACAUUAUUGUUUUCUCUGUAAAUACACGUCCCCAUUUCUUGUUCUAUACUAUUGGCUGAUCAUUAUACUUAAUUAAAUUAAUACUAACAUGAGAUAAAGAUGAGAAAUUCUACACGUGCACACAUAAAAAUAGUAGGAAUAAAUAGUUAUAGGGUACACUAUUUAAUAAUUAAUAUAAUGAAUUUUGGCUAUAUACUUUGAAAGAAAAAAAACAAAAUAAUAUAUUAUCACUCAAUAAAUCACAAAGGUAAAUUAUUUUAAAGUAAGAUAAAAUAAUUUAGAAUAAAAAUAUGAUAAAAUACCGGGAUCUUACAUUCUACCCACCUAAAAUAGUUUCGUCCUCGAAACUGGCACUAGAGAAAGUCUCGACAACGUUCAUUUAUUUCUUAACUAAUAACUCUAAUACCUCCAACUCUUAUUGAAGUACUUCAAGCAACAGGAUAAUACAAAUUGAAAGUUUCCUUUCCCACAAUUGAAUACAGGCCUCUAGGUGCAUUCAGACGUUCUGCUCUUGCCACGUAUACUGGAUCCUCCUCUUCUUAUGCCUUGCAGUCCCUAGCAAGAUGUCCUGGCUCACGACAACGAUAACAUAGAUCGCUCUUUGCGAUACAUUUGUCAGCAUAGUGUCCUGGAUCUCCACACUUGAAACAAUAAGGCUUUGGCUUAAAGAGGUCUCCUCUGUCUCCCGCACUAGGUUCCAAUGAAUUAUUAUAAUCCCCUUUAGGUUCUCUAGAGUCCUCGUAGGGCUUCUUCCCAUUUCCUCCUCGUCCACGAUUUUGAUUGCUGGAACGAGUUGGUCCCCCACAGUUAUUGUUAUUCCCUCGAGCAAGUCUCUUAUUCUUCAUCGCUUCUAUUUCUCUACAUUUUUCUACCAAAGGAUGGAAUUGUUGAAUUCCCAAUGGCAUUACCAUGUCUUGAAUUUCAUCCUUGAGCCCUUCUUGGAAUCGGUGGCACAUGUAGGCCUAAUCCACAGUCUGACGAAAGAACUUGAAGUACCUGGACAAUGUCUCAAACCUUGCUGCAUAUGCUCCUACCGUCAUGUUGCCCUGUUGUAACUUCAGAAAAUCAUCACCCAAUUUAGUUCUUGCACUCUGAGGAAAAUAUCUUUCCAAGAACUUGGUCUGAAAAACCUCCCAACUGAUUUCCUCUUGCGCAUUUUCUAACAUAUUUUUAGCAUUUUUCCACCAAUAAUCUGCAUCACCAAGCAACAAAUAUGUGGCAUAUUUCACCUUUGAUUCUUCAGGACAGUUAAUCACUUUCAAAAUCUUCUCCACUUCUUGUAGCCACAAAUCAGCCCUCUCUGGGUCUAAUUCUCCAUGGAAUUGAGGUGGAUUGUGACGACGGAAAUCUGCCAAUCCCCUUGAAUCUGCUUCCCUAUCUUCUCUCUGCUGUUUCAAUUGGUCUCGCUGAAUUUUGGCGGCUGUUUGUGCAGCAACAGCAGCAGCCAUGUCAGUCAUAGCCUGAGCCAUCUGGGCGUUAACAUCUCCAGAAGUUCCAGUAGUCUCCGGAGUACGUCUUGGAGGCAUUGUUUCCUGCAAUGCUUAAACAAGUCAUUACUCUAUCUUCAUAAAUACUCAUAGAACCACUAUCCUAACUCACAGAAACUUAGAUUUCUACCACUCAAAUUUAAAUCUUUAAAAAACCUCUCACCCUCAACAUUCUUGAUUCACAUUAUCCACCACCUAGAUUUACCUGCCUAGGAACUCCUCUCAAGAUAUCUGUAGCGAUCUCUGGCGAUGUAGCUAACAAUACAAGUCCCACAUUUCUUUACCAACACUCAAGAUUACUAAAAUCAAUGAAGUACAUAAGUCUCAUUCAACUGAAGCAAACAUUGCACUCUUCAAAGAAAUAUUCAUUAAGCAAUGCGGCAAUAGUGCAACAUCCUUUAAGUCCACGCAAGGUGAUGGUAGCCAACCACUUCAAAUGAGGUGACCAUCCUUCCCUCCUAACAAUUAUACCGUUUACUACUACUUGUAGUUAAUAUCUAAUGAGUUUCUUCAAUCACUUAAAUCCCCAUGACGAAAGACAACCCUCCUAAGAAACUUGGGUGUAGACAUCACACAUUCUUGAUACUAGUACCUCACAUAAUCGUCACUACUUAUCAUAGAUAAGGUCAAGGUCAACGUACAUGCGCUUAGAACACACACUAAUUCAAGAAAACAUUUAAUUUUUAUUUUUUUUUGAAGUAAGUCAGAAAUGCACAUCAUCUUUUGAGGACUUCAACUGACCUGACCAGCACUAAAAUUACUUAUACAAACUACCCGGACAUCCCCACAGUCCGAACUGGAUCGAACUGCUCUGAUACCAAAUGUAACGACCCAAAAAUUUCACACAUUAACUUAUAUAAUAUUUAGCGAAAAAUGGUGCAUAUUUUAUUUAUUUUUAAAAAAAAAUAAUAAUAACAAUGACUUAAAACUCACUCGCUUGAAAGUAACAAUAAAUAAUAAAUAAAGAAGUUUUUCUUUGAACCUUUUUAAAUAAUAAAUCAGUAUUGUUUUACAUCAAAAUAUAAAGUAAGGCCCUUGGCUUUUAACUACCCAAAGACACACCCUAGCUGGUCAUAACUUUGACGCUUGCGAGACUCUCGCUAAGGUGCACCUAAAGUCCACAUCACUCGAAGCCUCCAACUGUAAAUCAUUAUCAUUAUCUGAUUUUCAAAUACGGAAAAGGGUCAACUCCCAAACAACAACAAACAUACAAGUUGUACAUAUAUUAAACAUGAAUUUCAAGACAAGCAAAUUGUACAAAAAUUAAUAUAACUACACAAAAUGUCAACACCCAAAACACAUGUGGACUCGACAAAUGCACAACACCCUAAAGACCGACCUAUAUGCGACUCCAAAUGAUCCGGAUAUCACCUCUCUUAAAGGACAACAAAAGUUCUUCGUAGAUAUUUGUGGGCUCCAACCAAUUAUGAACACUCCACCGUGACUCCAACCAAUUAUGGACACCACAUACCCCACGGGUCCCAACCAAUUAUGGGCACCAAAAGAAAUCAACGAGCCUCAACCAAUUAUGAGCACUCACAAGGAAACAAUAAGCCCCAACCAAUUAUGGGCACUCAAGACUUCGGGUCCUAACCAAUUAUGGGCACCACGCAACAAUGAAUGUAUGCAUGCGACACCUGCAUAUUAACUCCACCAAAUAGACAACUCACAAUGAAUAUCCGAACCUGCUAGAGACAUUGAUUACACCGACAGUAACGCUGACUAACAAAAUAUGCAAGACCUCAAUCCAGGCAUGAAACAACAAUUUAUACUCACAACCAAGCAAUACAAAAUCAAGUUCACCUAGUAUGUAAGCAUGAUACAAUACAUAAACAUGUUAAAAACAUCAUCCUUUUAAAAAAAACAAGUAAAUACAUAUAUAAAAUAAAAAAAUGGAGCGCCCUUUCCCUUACCUUAACAAUAGCAGCUCUUAAGAUUUCCACCAACAGUCUUUACUCUAUCGAAUCUACACUUGUGAUAGGUCUAAAUGCUAGUUUUAGAGUUGAUCUUUGUUCUCAUUUCUUUCUCCUGCAAGACUCUCUAUGUUUCUAUCCCUCUCUCUCUAAAUUUCUCUCUAUUUUCUUCAGAGUGUAGAAUCAGUAAAGUGGUGAAUGAAUGGAAUAAAGAAGGUAACCGAUUGUUAUUAAUUGUGAAAUAACCCUCCCACUAACUCCCUUCCUAAAAGAGUGGCACUAUGCUUAAGGAGUGUGAAGUGAAAUUGACCAAUGUAACUAGGAAAGGAGGUUACAUUAUUGUUUUCUCUGUAAAUACACGUCCCCAUUUCUUGUUCUAUACUAUUGGCUGAUCAUUAUACUUAAUUAAAUUAAUACUAACAUGAGAUAAAGAUGAGAAAUUCUACACGUGCACACAUAAAAAUAGUAGGAAUAAAUAGUUAUAGGGUACACUAUUUAAUAAUUAAUAUAAUGAAUUUUGGCUAUAUACUUUGAAAGAAAAAAAAACAAAAUAAUAUAUUAUCACUCAAUAAAUCACAAAGGUAAAUUAUUUUAAAGUCAAAUUAAGAUAAAAUAAUUUAAAAUAAAAAUAUGAUAAAAUACCGGGAUCUUACACAUACCCCAAAUUCCAAUAGCACGAACAUCUUGUGACUCUACUUGUAACAAUGAUUCUACAUGUGCAAUUUGUUUUUCAAUUCCAUCAAGUCCUUUUGAAUUAACUAUUCGCACAUGAUCCAACUUCUUCAACACACUUUUAACUAUUUC